CCCAGUGGUGUUUUCCAUUCCUGAGCGAGCGUGGCGGGACCGCCUACCUGCUCAAGUGUACGCCCUGCCUGCUCAAGUGUCUGCCCUUCCCUACUCCACCCAGCCAGGUCCAGCCUGCACUCCUUGGAGAAAAACCUGCUCACCUGGCAGCUGGACCAAGGGAGCCAGCUUUAGGCACCAGUAGGCCCGUCCUGACCAUGGUCCCUGCCUGGCUGUGGCUGCUUUGCCUGUCCAUCCCCCAGGCUCUCUCCGAGGCCCAGCUUGCAGAGCUGCAUGUGGAAGUCCCAGAAAACUAUGGUGGAAAGUUCCCUUUGUACCUGACCAAGCUGCCACUACCCCGUGGGGAGACUGAGGGCCAGAUUGUGCUGUUAGGAAACUCAGGUAUGGCAGCUGAGAGUCCCUUUGCUGUGGAUCCCGAGUCCGGCUUCCUGAUGGUGACCAGAGCCCUGGACCGAGAGGAACAGCCAGAAUACCAGCUACAGGUCACCCUGGAGACUGACGAUGGACGUGUCUUGUGGGGCCCACAGCCUGUGCUUGUGCAUGUGAAGGAUGAAAACGAUCAGGUGCCCCAUUUCUCCCAGGCCAUCUACAGCGUUCAGCUGAGCCAGGGCACCAGGCCUGGCAUUCCCUUCCUCUUCCUUGAGGCUUCGGAUGAGGAUGAACCAGGAACAGCCAACUCAGAUCUCCGAUUCCAUAUCCUGAACCAGGCCCCAGCUCAGCCUUUCCCAGACAUGUUCCAGCUGGAGCCUCAGCUGGGGGCUCUGGCCCUCAGCCCUAAGGGGAGCACCAGUCUAGACCAGGCUCUGGAGGGACCCUACCAGCUGUUGGUACAGGUGAAGGAUAUGGGUGACCAGGCCUCAGGUCACCAGGCCACAGCUACUGUAAAUAUCUCCAUAGUAGAGAGCACCUGGAUGCCCCUAGAGCCUAUCCACCUGGCAGAAAAUCUCAAAGUUCCAUACCCACAUCAUAUUUCCCAGGUACACUGGAGUGGUGAGGAUGUGCAUUAUCACCUGGAGAGCCAGCCCCCUGGACCCUUUGAUGUGGAUACAAAAGGGAAACUCUACGUGACCAUGGAGCUGGACCGAGAAUCCCAGGCUGAGUACCUGCUCCAGGUGCGGGCUCAGAACACCCAUGGAGAGGACUACACAGAACCUCUGAAGCUGCUGGUGGUGGUGAUGGAUGAGAAUGACAACGCGCCUGCUUGCCCCACACGUGGCCCCCCAAUCCGCAUCCCUGAGCUCAGUCCCGCAGGCACCGAGGUGACUAGGCUGCUGGCAGAGGACAUGGAUGCCCCCGGCUCCCCCAAUUCCCAUGUUGUGUAUCGGCUGCUGAGCCCUGAGCCUGAGGAGGGAACAGAGGGGAGAGCCUUCGAGCUGGACUCUGCCUCAGGCAGUGUGACACUGGGGGCUGUCCCCCUCCAUGCCGGCCAGGACAUCCCUCUUCAGGUACUAGCGGUUGACCUAGGAGGAGCAGAGGGAGGUCUCAGCAGCACGUGUGAGGUCACCGUCACCAUCACGGACAUCAAUGACCAUGCUCCAGAGUUCACCACUUCCCAGAUUGAGCCCAUCAGCCUCCCUGAGGACACAGAGCCUGGGACUCUGGUGGCCACACUCCUGGCUACCGAUGGCGACCUUGAGCCCGCCUUCCGCCGCAUGGACUUUGCCAUUGAGGCAGGGGAUGUGGACGGGGCCUUCGGCCUGAAAUGGGAGCCCGAUUCUGGUCAUGUCCAGCUACUCCUUCUCAAGAACCUCAGCUAUGAGGCAGCUCCAAGUUACCAGCUGGUGGUGGUGGUGCGGAGCGAGGCAGAGCUGGUGGGGCCAGGCCCGGGCCCUGGAGCCACAGCCACAGUGACAGUGCUGGUGGAGAAGGUGGUGCCACCCCCCAAGUUGAACCAGGAGAGCUAUGAGGCCAGCGUCCCAGUCAGCACCCCGGCCGGCUCCCUCCUGCUGACCAUCCAGCCCUCAGACCCCAUGAGCAGUCCCCUCAGGUUCUCCCUGGUCAAUGACUCAGAGGGCUGGCUCUGCAUCAAGGAGGUCUCCGGGGAGGUGCACACGGCCCGGCCCUUGCAGGGUGCCCGGCCCGGGGACAUGUACACAGUGCUCGUGGAGGCCCAGGAUGCAGGUGAGCCCACACUGAGGACCGCUGUGACCCUCGUGAUCCACUUCCUGAAGGCCGCUUCUGCCUCGGCCCCAGCUCUGCCCCUGGUGCCCACCCAACACCUCUGCACCCCCCGCAAGAACCAUGGUGUGGUUGUCAGCGGAGCCAGUGAGGACACUGACCUGGCUGAUGGGCACGGUCCCUACCAUUUUGCCCUUGGUCCCAACCCCACAGUGCAGCGGGACUGGCGCAUCCAGGCUCUCAAUGGUUCCCAUGCCUACCUCACCUUGGCCCUGCACUGGGUGGAGCCACGUGAAUACUCUGUCCCUGUAGUUGUCAGCCACAAUAACCGGAUGUGGCAGCUCCUGGUCCGAGUGAUCGUGUGCCGAUGCAAUGCGGAGGGGCAGUGCAUGCGCAAGGUGGGCCGCAUGAAGGGCAUGCCCACGAAGCUGUCGGCAGUGGGCAUCCUCGGGGGCACCCUGUUAGCAAUAGGCAUCUUCCUCGUCCUCAUCUUCACCCACUUGAGCCUGGCGAGGAAGAAGGACCCGGAUCAGCCAGCGGACAGUGUGCCCCUGAAGGCGGCGGUCUGAACGGUCCAGGCAGUCCCAGCUGGGAGGUUGGCCUCUGACUCCAUCUGGAUCUACUGGGAGAGGGCCCAGCACUGCAGCUCCACGGGGCCAGGUCAGAGCAGGAGCCCUUCACCUGCCCUGGGGUGAAGGCAACAUCGCCAGACGUGUCUGUACACUGACUUUGUGGGCUGCCCGUGGGAGCGCUCCGAAUGGCGGUAUGUUUGUCCAAUAAUAAAGCCUCAGAGAAUUGGGCAUGAGCCCUAGUUCUCUGGACACAUGUG